rnacentral:lncRNA from 1 species
CAGAGAAAGUGGUGCUGGGCUGCGCCGGUGGGUAGCUCCAAGGAGUCCUCUUCGUCCUGUUUCCUUCUCAGAAGUUAGACCUUGGGAUGGCUUCCAGUGGCACUGAGGUCAGAGCUAUUGCUCCAGCUAAAGCUAACAGUGUUCUGCUCAGGAAGUGGACCCCUGCCUUCCCAGAAGACAACAGAACAGAAGCAGCUGGAGGUGGGAGACUGCAAACAGAAUCAACAUAGUUUACAGGAAUAAAAGCAAGCUCCAGUCCUGAGUGCUGCCCAACUGUCGGAACACCUACUGGCUGGGCUUUGGACACAAACACUCCCCCUGAGCCUCAGGAGGCUGACAGUCCCCUGGACAGAAGAGCAUGAGGCCUUCGUGCUGGGAUCUCAGGACGGGUUGCACAGGACUUUGUGAGGGAUCGAACACAGGACCUUGGGCUUUCGAAGCAGGUGGCGGAACCACUGAGCUAAAUCCCGGCCCUUGACUAACUGCUUUUGAUCCGCUUCUGGAAACCCAUAUGCCCACCCUUAGGAUGACCAACUAGGAAGACCAAGCCCUUCAGCCACAUGUGUAAAACUAGAGCCUCUUCCUUGUCUGGGACUCAGCCUUUGGAUACAAAUCCACUGGGCCGGUUUGCACCUAAGUAAAUCCUCCUGUUUCACCCACUGGUCUCUCUGAUCUCUUAAAUUCUACAACACCUUGACUCAGUGAAUAUUCAGCAGCUGCUUAGGUACGAGGUGUUGUGCUACUUAUUGGAGGAUUAAAAAAAAGUAAGAUCCCAAAAGCUCGGACUUUGUCCAGUGGUUCCAAAACUUGCCCGUGCUUCAGAAUCAUCUAUAAUGUUUUUUUAAAAAAAUACAGCCAGUUGGGGUUCACCCCAGGGCUGGCUGAAUCAGAAUGCCCAAACAUAAGUUUCAGGAAGUCGUAUUAUUAAAUGUUUCCUCCAGAUAAUGUUGCUGAGCAGUCAGAGCCACUGACCUUUAGAGAAACGCUGAGGUGGAAUUUCCCUGGUGACUUUUCCUCUACAUACGUGAUUGGGAGUCUGGCUCCUGGACGCAAGAUGGUCAGGGGCAUCACCAAAGAAGAGGACAGGAUUGUGCUCAGCAGAAGGGAGCUGCGAGCCUGGGCCUGCUCUCUGGCCUUCAAAGAACAGCUGGGAUGGAUGAAGGCAGGGAGAGCAGGAUGUUGUG